UAUGGACGUCCCCUCUCUGUGUUGGCGAGGCUCGGCCUCCUGGGCAUUUUCCUUUGAUCUGUACUGGGCACGCUCCCCAUGCCUGAAGCUCAAGGCCUCCAAGGAGGGCAUUUUCACGAGGUUGGAGGGGUGAAGAGGAUCAGGGAGGACAGGGGUGUGACAUUCUGAACGGGGCCAGAGCGGGCUUACGUUACAGGACGGCGUUGAGGGCAGGGGUGGAUGUGCUGCAUGCCUGUGGCAAGUCGUUAACGGUUUUAACGGUGUGACAGACGAGCUGGGAAGUGAGAGGAGGCCCCUGAUGACGGCAGACAUCUCACUCUCAGACACACACAGACACACACACACUCUCACACAGAUGUAUUCUCAUAGUGAAAUCUCACAAUGUCUGGUCGAUGUCCUGUGAGCUAUCAGCUAAAUCAAAACCACUUGACUCAUCUGCAUAACUGCAUUUGAACUCUACCUAACUUGUGAUGUAGGCACUUUGUAGUUUCAUAAUAAAUCUCUUUUCAGCAAUGUUAGUUUUUUUUUGCACAAUAAAUGGCUAUAUAAAAGGGGA